rnacentral:rRNA from 1 species
UACAGAGGUCUCAAGCGUUGUUCGGAUUCAUUGGGCGUAAAGGGUGCGUAGGCGGCGCGGUAAGUCGGGUGUGAAAUCUUGGAGCUUAACUCCAAAACUGCAUUCGAUACUGCCGUGCUUGAGGACUGGAGAGGAGACUGGAAUUUACGGUGUAGCGGUGAAAUGCGUAGAUAUCGUAAGGAAGACCAGUGGCGAAGGCGGGUCUCUGGACAGUUCCUGACGCUGAGGCACGAAGGCCAGGGGAGCAAACGGG